rnacentral:rRNA from 1 species
AUUGAACGCUAGCGGGAUGCUUUACACAUGCAAGUCGAACGGCAGCGCGGACUUCGGUCUGGCGGCGAGUGGCGAACGGGUGAGUAAUGUAUCGGAACGUGCCCAGUAGCGGGGGAUAACUACGCGAAAGCGUAGCUAAUACCGCAUACGCCCUACGGGGGAAAGCAGAGGAUCGUAAGACCUUGCACUAUUGGAGCGGCCGAUAUCGGAUUAGCUAGUUGGUGAGGUAACGGCUCACAAAGGCGACGAUCCGUAGCUGGUUUGAGAGGACGACCAGCCACACUGGGACUGAGACACGGCCCAGACUCCUACGGGAGGCAGCAGUGGGGAAUUUUGGACAAUGGGGGCAACCCUGAUCCAGCCAUCCCGCGUGUGCGAUGAAGGCCUUCGGGUUGUAAAGCACUUUUGGCAGGAAAGAAACGUCGCGGGCUAAUACCCCGUGGAACUGACGGUACCCGCAGAAUAAGCACCGGCUAACUACGUG